AUUGAACGCUGGCGGCAUGCUUUACACAUGCAAGUCGAACGGCAGCACGGGCUUCGGCCUGGUGGCGAGUGGCGAACGGGUGAGUAAUAUAUCGGAACGUACCCAGAAGUGGGGGAUAACGUAGCGAAAGUUACGCUAAUACCGCAUACGAUCUACGGAUGAAAGUGGGGGACCUUCGGGCCUCAUGCUUUUGGAGCGGCCGAUAUCUGAUUAGCUAGUUGGUGAGGUAAAGGCUCACCAAGGCGACGAUCAGUAGCUGGUCUGAGAGGACGACCAGCCACACUGGAACUGAGACACGGUCCAGACUCCUACGGGAGGCAGCAGUGGGGAAUUUUGGACAAUGGGCGCAAGCCUGAUCCAGCAAUGCCGCGUGAGUGAAGAAGGCCUUCGGGUUGUAAAGCUCUUUUGUCAGGGAAGAAACGGUAGGGGCUAAUAUCCUUUGCUAAUGACGGUACCUGAAGAAUAAGCACCGGCUAACUACGUGCCAGCCGCCGCCGUAA
rnacentral:rRNA from 1 species